rnacentral:rRNA from 1 species
GGCGGACGGGUGCGUAACACGUGGGUAAUCUACCUCUCAGCGGGGGACAACAGCUCGAAAGGGCUGCUAAUACCGCAUACGUCGGCGGGGACGGAUGUUCCUGUCGGGAAAGCCGGCCACUUCAUGAAAGCUGGCACUGAGAGAUGAGCCCGCGGCCCAUCAGCUAGUUGGCGGGGUAACGGCCCACCAAGGCUAAGACGGGUAGCUGGUCUGAGAGGAUGAUCAGCCACACUGGGACUGAGACACGGCCCAGACUCCUACGGGAGGCAGCAGUGGGGAAUAUUGGGCAAUGGGCGCAAGCCUGACCCAGCCACGCCGCGUGAGUGAUGAAGGCCUUCGGGUCGUAAAGCUCUGUGGGGAGGGACGAAACUUCGCUGGCUAACAUCCAGCGGACUGACGGUACCUCCUUAGCAAGCACCGGCUAACUCCGUGCCAGCAGCCGCGGUAAUACGGAGGGUGC